CAGAUUAUGCCUUCAGCCAACCAGACCGGAACCAGGAAGUGAGUAGCUGAUCCUUAAGAACUGAGCAAAAACCAGCCAGGUGCAAAGAGUCCAAAGAGGCACGCGGAAGGCCUGCUGCUGGUGGGGACGCCAAUGCCUGCAGAGGGACUGCGGGAAGCCAGGGCCACUGAGCUGCUGCUCCCUUUCACCCUGCUGUACCUGCUGGAAUGGGAUGGCACUCUUUUCUUUACUGCCAUGGGACAGGGAGCUCCGGCAUUUCCGAGGACUGCAGGGAGAACCUGUCUACAAGACAGCCAAGCGUAAGAGAAGCCAGAGUUGAAGUUAUCUUGGAACCAAACAGUGGAGGAUUGGCGAAUUUGGUCACCAGUGGAUGCUGGGCUUGCCACUAGGGGCCAAGGUGUGGACCAAGGAGCUUCCAGCCAAGACAGAGCCGCUAACAACUUAAGGAGAAAACACGUACUGGGGUGAGAUGAUCUGAAGGGUGUUUCCAAUGAGAAUGACACAAAUACCAAGGACUGGAGGAGCCCUUGGAACAACUGAUAAAGCUUCCCACAUUUUUUUUUUUUUUGAGAUGGAGUCUCACUCUGUCACCCAGCCUGGAGUGCAAUCGCAUGAUCUCGGCUCACUGCAACCUCUGCCUCCUGGAAUCAAGGAAUUCUCCUGCCUCAGCCUCCUGAGUAGCUGGGAUUACAGGCUCCCACCACCACACCUGGCUAAUUUUGUAUUUUUAGUAGAGACAGGGUUUCACCAUGUUGGUCAGGCUGGUCUCGAACUCCUGACCUCAGGUGAUCCACCUGCUUCCGCCUCCCAAAGUGCUGGGAUUACAGGCAUGAGCCACUGCGCCUGGUCAGUUUCCCACAUUUUCGUAAGAUUAUGUUUGGCCUACAAAAGCUCAACCCAAAGCUAUCUUAUCAAGCUGGUAUGGAAUCUUUAUUUCAGCAAGGUGAUAUCCCCACUAUGUAAUUCAACCUUUUGUUUAUUCCAAUAAUUAGUACGAAGGUGCUAUUCUAACUAAAAUUGUGUUAAAUUUGAGAUAAAAUCAAUGUAUUUUUGUAAUUUUGUUUUCACCCUGAAAAUUGGUCCUACUAUAAGACAAGAUGGGAUCACCCUUCCUGUGACGGCUGGCUCCGGUGGAAGCCUGCGUGGGGCUCCCAUACCCCUCAUCCUCCGGGACAGAUCAUCACCCUGUCUCUGCUUAAAUGCCUCUGGUAACAGGGAGCUCACUAGCCCACAAGGAAGUCUGCUCUGUUUUUGACA